rnacentral:tRNA from 1 species
GGGGAUUUAGUUCAGUGGAAAAAAACUUCUUUAACAUAUAAGGCCCUGGGUUUGAUCCCCAGUAUCCCCC